AGGUUUCCGUAGGUGAACCUGCGGAAGGAUCAUUACUAGAGCAAAGGAUAGACAGCGCCCGCGGAGCUCGCUCCCGGGGCUACCCUACUCCCGUAGGGUUUAGAGUCGUCGGGCCUCUCGGAGAAGCUCGGUCCUGAACUCCACCCUUGAAUAAACUACCUUUGUUGCUUUGGCGGGCCGCCUCGUGCCAGCGGCUUCGGCUGUUGAGUGCCCGCCAGAGGACCCCAACUCUUGUUUUUAGUGAUGUCUGAGUACUAUAUAAUAGUUAAAACUUUCAACAACGGAUCUCUUGGUUCUGGCAUCGAUGAAGAACGCAGCGAAAUGCGAUAAGUAAUGUGAAUUGCAGAAUUCAGUGAAUCAUCGAAUCUUUGAACGCACAUUGCGCCCUCUGGUAUUCCGGGGGGCAUGCCUGUUCGAGCGUCAUUAUAACCACUCAAGCUCUCGCUUGGUAUUGGGGUUCGCGGUUUCGCGGCCCCUAAAAUCAGUGGCGGUGCCUGUCGGCUCUACGCGUAGUAAUACUCCUCGCGAUUGAGUCCGGUAGGUCUACUUGCCAGCAACCCCUAAUUUUUUUUAAGGUUGACCUCGGAUCAGGUAGGGAUACCCGCUGAACUUAA
rnacentral:rRNA from 1 species